GCACUGCUGAGGAGUCCCACAAUAGGACGAAAAGGCCGUGCAGUGC
rnacentral:hammerhead_ribozyme from 1 species